GUGGGGAAUAUUGGGCAAUGGGGGCAACCCUGACCCAGCGACGCCGCGUGAGGGAAGAAGGCCUUAGGGUCGUAAACCUCUGUUGUGUGGGAAGAAGGAAGUGACGGUACCACACGAGGAAGUCCCGGCUAACUACGUGCCAGCAGCCGCGGUAAUACGUAGGGGACGAGCGUUGUCCGGAAUUACUGGGCGUAAAGGGCGCGUAGGCGGUAAUUUAAGUCAGCUGUGAAAUGGUCCGGCUCAACCGGAUCAUGCGGUUGAAACUGGAUGACUGGAGUGCUGGAGAGGCAAGUGGAAUUCCCAGUGUAGCGGUGAAAUGCGUAGAUAUUGGGAAGAACACCGGUGGCGAAGGCGACUUGCUGGCCAGCAACUGACGCUGAGGCGCGAAAGCCAGGGGAGCAAACGGGAUUAGAUACCCUAGUAGUCC
rnacentral:rRNA from 1 species